rnacentral:rRNA from 1 species
AUUGAACGCUGGCGGCAGGCCUAACACAUGCAAGUCGAAUGGUAACAGGAAACAGCUUGCUGUUUCUCUGACGAGUGGCGGACGGGUGAGUAAUGUCUGGGAAACUGCCUGAUGGAGGGGGAUAACUACUGGAAACGGUAGCUAAUACCGCAUAACGUCGCAAGACCAAAGAGGGGGACCUUCGGGCCUCUUGCCAUCAGAUGUGCCCAGAUGGGAUUAGCUAGUAGGUGGGGUAACGGCUCACCUAGGCGACGAUCCCUAGCUGGUCUGAGAGGAUGACCAGCCACCCUGGAACUGAGACACGGUCCAGACUCCUACGGGAGGCAGCAGUGGGGAAUAUUGCACAAUGGGCGCAAGCCUGAUGCAGCCAUGCCGCGUGUAUGAAGAAGGCCUUCGGGUUGUAAAGUACUUUCAGCGGGGAGGAAGGGAGUAAAGUUAAUACCUUUGCUCAUUGACGUUACCCGCAGAAGAAGCACCGGCUAACUCCGUG